ACACCUGGAGCAGGUAAUAGUUUUUGUCGGAACAGCGAAGCGUGAUUAUUACAAGUAGCAGAGUGGGAGAGUCGAAGCACGGUGACCAUCACCGAGCAAUUCCUUUCCUCUUGGGUAUGGCGCAGCCCCUCUCGUCCGAGAAACCCUCCGAUCUCCCCGUCAUCUCCGAACAAAGAAUUUUAAUACCAAACAAGUACGGAGAAAAGCUUGCUGGAGUGUUGCAUCAAACUGGUUCCAAGAAGCUUGUGAUCUUGUGCCAUGGAUUCCGGGCUUCAAAGGAAGAUAACAUUAUAGUUAACCUCACUGCCUCAUUGACAAGCCAAGGAAUCAGCACCUUCAGCUUUGAUUUUGCUGGAAAUGGGGAAAGUGAGGGCGAAUUCCAGUAUGGCAACUAUUGCAGAGAGGCUGAUGACUUGCGUGCUGUAAUUUCAUAUCUUUCUGAGCAGAAGCAUGAAAUUGCUGCCAUUAUUGGACACAGCAAGGGAGGAAAUGUGGUGCUCCUAUAUGCUUCGAUGUAUCAUGAUGUACCUAUUGUCAUCAAUUGUUCUGGACGCUUUGCCUUAGAUAGAGGUAUUGAAGGUCGCUUGGGGAAAGAAUUUAUGCAGAGAAUAAAGAGAGAUGGUUUUAUUGAUGUGAAGGACAAGACAGGAAAAAUUGAAUACCGGGUGACAGAAGAUAGUUUAAUGGACCGAUUAAGCACAGAUAUGCAUGCAGCAAGCCUUUCCAUUGACAAAGAAUGCAGGUUAAGCACCUUUUACUGCUAUUCUUUAUCUACAGGGUCUUCACUAUUCAUGGCUCAGAAGAUGAAAUCAUACCAGUUGAAGACGCCUUAGAAUUUGCGAAGCUUAUACCAAACCACAAGUUGCAUAUUGUUGAGGGCGCCAACCAUUGCUAUUCUGCACAUCAGCAAGAGUUGGCUUCACUUGUAGUGGACUUCCUAAAAUCUAAUCAGUUGAUGAGAUGUGUAUAAAACAAUCUAUGAGUGCUUCUGAACAUGCAUCGUGAUGACAAAUCAGUUUAAUUACCACAGGUGGGGGAUGCCUCUUGAGGGUGAGAAGAAUAAAUUACGAACCUAGAAACUACUACACGGGGUCAAGAAGAAUCACUGCAGGAUAUGAUUCCAAACUUUCUCAUGUACUAGUAGAUGUUUGGCUAUGUUUAUUCUGAAAGUGGCUGUUGUCGCAAACUUGUUCUCUAAAAUAAAAGUGCCAUUCAAACUAA